AUUGAACGCUGGCGGCAGGCCUAACACAUGCAAGUCGAGCGGAUGAAGGGAGCUUGCUCCUGGAUUCAGCGGCGGACGGGUGAGUAAUGCCUAGGAAUCUGCCUGGCAGUGGGGGAUAACGUCCGGAAACGGGCGCUAAUACCGCAUACGUCCUGAGGGAGAAAGUGGGGGAUCUUCGGACCUCACGCUAUCAGAUGAGCCUAGGUCGGAUUAGCUAGUUGGUGGGGUAAAGGCCUACCAAGGCGACGAUCCGUAACUGGUCUGAGAGGAUGAUCAGUCACACUGGAACUGAGACACGGUCCAGACUCCUACGGGAGGCAGCAGUGGGGAAUAUUGGACAAUGGGCGAAAGCCUGAUCCAGCCAUGCCGCGUGUGUGAAGAAGGUCUUCGGAUUGUAAAGCACUUUAAGUUGGGAGGAAAGGCAGUAAGUUAAUACCUUGCUGUUUUGACGUUACCAACAGAAUAAGCACCGGCUAACUUCGUG
rnacentral:rRNA from 1 species